rnacentral:lncRNA from 1 species
CUCCCCCAGCGCGAACCUCAAGGGCUGGGACCCGACGGGCAGCCCAGCAAGCAGGCUCGGAAGCGGGGCCGGGGCAGCUGGAGCUGGCGUGACGCCGCCGCCGCCGCCACCGCAGGGAAGACGAGGGUGACGGCUCCAGGACUGGGCACUGGCCCGCCCGGCGGACGCGCCGGCCCCUCUAGGGCGGGGACGCGGGCCUCGGUUUUGAGAGGCGCCUCCAGGGCCGGUGCGGGGCACGCGGUGUGGCCGGUCUGUCCCCCGGGCAGGGAUGCUCGGAUGCUCCAGGGCUUUUCCCUGUGGUACCUGGACCCCGGUGGCCAGGCGGGCAGUUCCCGGGUGUACGGCAGCCGGCCCCACCGCGAGGGACGCCACCUGCCCGUCAGACGCCCCCGAGGCGCUUCUGAAACAGACCAAGGCCUGGGGCCCCCACCAAUGAAGAGAUUUCAAAUGCCCCCCGAGGCUGUGAGGGAGGCACCUGCCCCUCGGGCUGCCCACCUUACAGAGGCCCCUGCCCUUGGGGUGGAGCCCCAAAACCUCAUCACGCUGACUCGGCCGCCCCCACCCCACCCAGGCACCCCCCUGGCCCCGGCCCCCCUUUCUCCCUCCCCCUGCUGACAGUCGCCGGCCAAGGUUCUGAGCUGUGCAUCUGCCUCCACCAUCUGGCUCCUCGCUCUCGCUGGCCGCUGGUCUGGCGCCGUCACCCCAGUUUAGGGACGAGGAGGCGGAGACUGGGGGGGCACAGUGCACCGUCCAAGGGCAGAGCCGCAAGCACGGGGAGGGGGCAGGACCCCGCCUGCUGGCCGCUCCGACUGCCCCUGCGCUGGUGUGGCCUGGCCCCAGGCCCAGAGCCCCGCACCCCCCGCCGGCGGCCACACCUGCGUCUCUCUCCCAUCUCGGGCAGGAAGCUGGACGAGACCCGUGAGCCCCCGGGACCCGCUGCACGGAGGAGGGCGAGGAGGCACCCACCAGGCUGCGCCCGCCCGCGCCCUUCACUUCCGGCCCAGUCGGGGCGGCAGGCUCAGCUCCAAGGAAUAAACUCCGAAACCAUCACCUCGGUGAGCACUUGGCCAGAUAUUAGCAGAGAAUGACAGCAAAGAAGAACACGGGAAGGAAAAAGAAAAAAGUAUUCUCUUCUCCAAGGUCACUCUGAGCGGUGAGUUUGAGGCUCCCCCUUCCUUCUGGGAGGGAAAAAGCUUGAAUGAAGUACAGCAUGUUCUGAAAUCCAAGCCACGGUCCCUGGGCUCUUCACCAGUUUCUGCGUGUCAAAGCGCCAACCCCAAGAGACCUCGGAGACCUUCUUUCUGUGACUCCUGACUGGCAAAGCCAAAGUGACUUUGUUUUGCAAAAUUCCGCAUGGCUCUUCUGUCCUGCAUCUUUCAAACUCAACGUGGCUUUGUCUCUAGAGUUACAUGAUGGAUUUGAGCAGGAAGUCUAUAUUAGAAGAAGCUUAUUCUAGAAUCACAAGGUUGAAUGGGGCAUGUGAGUCUAUUUGAUCCUAACUCCUUAUUCUUUGUACCCUGUCAAAAAAAUGACAGGAUUUCUGGGUUCCAGGGUUCAAAGGAAUCUGGGUAAAUUACUAAAAUAAUAGUAAUAAAAGUAAAGGGAGCAAGGAAAGAGAGUGAUAUUCAGCUUGUUAACCAAGAAGGGAGGAGGUGUAGCUCAGUGGGUGGAGAGCCUGCCUCGCACGUAGGAGGUCCCGGGUUCAAUCCCCCCUUCCUCCUAAUAUAAUAAUAACCAUAGAACCAGGAAAUCUCCCCACCUGCAAGUUUCCAUUUGGGGGCAGACACAGCACAGAGGAUUCUGAACAUUUAUGGUCCGAAGGUGCUCUCUCUGUUCUGUAUUGACUAGCUGGGGGCCUCUGGGCAAGUAGCUGCCUCUGAGACUGUUCACCUAGAAAAACGAUAACUUUCAAAAAUAAUGAUACAAGUCUCUGACCUCCCAGAAACAAAACAAAAACCAUCUCCCUACCACAACGAUAAGCAUUUUAAAAACUAUCCUUAUUAACCUUUUUUUAAGCAAACGAUGACUUUUAAGAUGCACUUGCGUUAACCUCCGUAAUUUUUCUUUUUAAUGACAUAGUUACUUAAAAGUCGGCGACAACUAAAUAACUAAAGUGUUCGUAUUAUAUUGUCGACCAGGUCGAUACGCUCACGAGAAGACUUCGUUUUAAGAGAAGAGACCGAAGCUAGGAGUCAGAAGACUCAGGCUUCCAAAGCGGCUGUCCCCUGGUGACAAGCAGGGGCUGGCUAAGCUGACCUCCGAGGUUGCCAGAAAGUAAGAUCGGCUUUGCAGCUCGGCUGCAGCCAGCCCUGGAACUGCACCGCCUCGGCUUCUCAGGGACGUCCGGAGACGAGGGAAGGGGUCCAAAGGUCGUGCAGACUGCAAAGCCCCUUGCUAAGCCCGAGGCGGCGGCAUGGUGCAAGGUUUGCGCAACCGUCGCCCUAGGAUGAGGGACUGGGGACAGGAGUCCCGCGCCCUUCGCUCCUCCCCUGCCAGAACGUGCAACUCAGCACGCUGGGGGAGCUGCGCGGGUCGCCCGGGCCCAGCAGAGACCCCCCCCCCAAGCUACGAGCACCCCCAGAACAACCUGGGUUGCAGGAUUAGCACGACCUCCCCCGCGCAUGCGCACCGCGACUAACACGCGGCCCAGGGGCGCCCACUGCGCCUGCGCCCUCCGGCUUGGGCCCCCUUCGGGGCGCAGGGCCAGGGAAGGGAGUCCCGCGCCCCCGCGAAGAAGAAAAAGAGCAGGGGUAUCCGGGGAUGGCGCCCAGCACCCCGGUCCUCGUUCCUUACCUCAUAGUGCUUCAUGGCUCCCUCGCCCGGGGGCUGAUGCGCCUGCUACCCUCCUGCGCGCGACACAGACAAGGCCGCCUCCCGCGCUCGCGACCACCGCGCGAGACUAACCGCGGCUCGGCGCCGGCCCCG